UUUAUAAGUAUUUACGAUCAUUAUCGACAAAUUUUCGAUUUAGAUAAUACCGAGGGAAGAUACUAAAACAUUUUCAUCUUUGAAUAAAUGAAAUAAUUUGUUACAAGUUUACAGAAUAUAUUGGAGAACCACUGGUAUACGUGGUGCUAUGCGUGGCGUGUGUGUUAUAGGCGCCUCUGCGUUGAACCUUCCCGCCCCUUGACAGUCAUCACCAUCAGUAAUAGCAGCGAGAAAGAGAAAGAGAAAGAGAGGGAGAGAAACAGAGAAUUGCAUUUCGUGGCGUUGUUCGCGAGGGGCCAAGCCGAGCAUGGAACGGUCCGACACAAAA
rnacentral:lncRNA from 1 species